rnacentral:rRNA from 1 species
UACGUAGGGUGCGAACGUUGUUCGGAAUCACUGGGCUUAAAGGGCGCGUAGGCGGGCUCGCCAGUCUGUGGUGAAAUCCUCCAGCCCAACUGGAGAAUGGCCAUGGAUACUGCGAGUCUCGAGGGAGGUAGGGGCGUGCGGAACAGAUGGUGGAGCGGUGAAAUGCGUUGAUAUCAUCUGGAACUCCGGUGGCGAAGGCGGCACGCUGGACCUCAUCUGACGCUGAGGCGCGAAAGCCAGGGGAGCAAACGGG